rnacentral:misc_RNA from 1 species
UGCCUGUCCACACCGAGGUGCUGCUGACCCGGGGACCGGGGGCGCUCUGAGCGGACAUCGAACUCCACGUGUUCGCCGCCGGCACGUACCUAGAGCCAUCGUUGAAAACCUGGACGUUGCUCUCCCCGCCCCAGACGAGCAUCUCGCUGCCCGUCCAAGCGGCGCUUGGUGACCAGCGGGCUGCCGGUACACCCUGACCUGUGCUCGUAAGGGUCCAGCUGUUGUUGGAUGGGUCGUAUCUCCCACCUGUGUUGUAUGGUAAAUUCCCGUCGAAUCCGCCCCAUACCACCAUACGGUUGCCGGUCCAUACCGCCGCGUGUCGGCCCCUCGGUGGAGGCGCAGGGUGAGCCUCGUUGGUCGGGAGCCAGGAGUCGCUUGUCGGGUUAUAUCGGCUACCGGAGCUGGUGUAGUUUCGUCCAGUGUAACCGCCCCACACGAUCAUCUCCGUGCCGGUCCAGACAGCUGUGUGCUCCCGGCGGGCGCUCGGCGCCGGCGGGAUCUGGCUCGUCGGCGUCCAGGUGUCGGUUGCCGGGUUGUAGCGGGCACCCGAGUUCAUUUCCAUGAAGCCGUCCCAGCCACCCCAGAUAAUCAUCUCACUGCCGGUCCAGAUAGCAGUGUGCCUGUCGCGAGGCAGCGGGGCGCCUACUCCCGCCAUCGAUGUCCACGUGUCGGCCGGGCAACCCUCAGUCGUAUCGAGGUCAACCUCAGCGCUAGCAGCGUCUUGAGCCUCUAGAGGUGCAGGAAGAAAAAGGUGCCGUGUCUUGGCCCACCAAGUCUCGAACGGAUCUUUCGUCCAGCGCGUUACUGCGACGCGGAGCAGGAACGGGGUUGAUUCGAGUAUCUCGGUGACGGUGAAAGCAGCCUCCUCCUCAAUCAACGGGGGUACAUGCCGCCGCUCGGCGACCGCUUGUCCGCUGGUAAUCGCUGCGAGGGUGCUCGACUGCAGGCCGGCGCGUGCGGCAACGCUUUCGAGAAUCGACUCCCACUGCUGCGCGCCGUGCACGAUCU